AAAUGCGAUAAGUAAUGUGAAUUGCAGAAUUCAGUGAAUCAUCGAAUCUUUGAACGCACCUUGCGCUCCUUGGUAUUCCUUGGAGCAUGCCUGUUUGAGUAUCAUGAAAUCUUCAAAGUAAAUCUUUUGUUAACUCAAUUGGUUUCUACUUUGGUAUUGGAGGUCUUUGCAGCUUCACCUGCUCCUCUUUGUUCAUUAGCUGGAUCUCAGUGUUAUGCUUGGUUCCACUCGGCGUGAUAAGUUAUCUAUCGCUGAGGACACUGUAAAAGGUGGCCAAGGUAAAUGCAGAUGAACCGCUUCUAAUAGUCCAUUGACUUGGACAAUACUUUUAUGAUCUGAUCUCAAAUCAGGUAGGACUACCCGCUGAACUUAAGC
rnacentral:misc_RNA from 1 species